rnacentral:rRNA from 1 species
UAGUCCACGCUGUAGACGAUGGAUACUAGCUGUUCGAUCUUCGGAUUGAGUGGCCAAGCGAAAGUGAUAAGUAUCCCACCUGGGGAGUACGUUCGCAAGAAUGAAACUCAAAGGAAUUGACGGGGGCCCGCACAAGCGGUGGAGCAUGUGGUUUAAUUCGAUGAUACGCGAGGAACCUUACCAGGGCUUAAAUGUAUUGUGACAGGGGUGGAAACACUCUUUUCUUCGGACACAUUACAAGGUGCUGCAUGGUUGUCGUCAGCUCGUGCCGUGAGGUGUCAGGUUAAGUCCUAUAACGAGCGCAACCCCUGUUGUUAGUUGCCAGCGAGUAAUGUCGGGAACUCUAACAAGACUGCCGGUGCAAACCGUGAGGAAGGUGGGGAUGACGUCAAAUCAUCACGGCCCUUACGUCCUGGGCUACACACCGUGCUACAAUGGCCGGUACAGAGAGCAGCCACUACGUAAGUAGGAGCGAAUCUAUAAAACCGGUCUCAGUUCGGAUCGGGGU